UACGUAGGGUGCGAGCGUUACUCGGAAUUACUGGGCGUAAAGCGUGCGCAGGCGGUUCGUUAAGUUCGAUGUGAAAGCCCCGGGCUUAACCUGGGAACUGCGUUUGAAACUGGGAGACUUGAGUGUGGCAGAGGGGGGUGGAAUUCCACGUGUAGCAGUGAAAUGCGUAGAUAUGUGGAGGAACACCGAUGGCGAAGGCAGCCCCCUGGGUUAACACUGACGCUCAUGCACGAAAGCGUGGGGAGCAAACAGG
rnacentral:rRNA from 1 species